AUGAAAAAAGAACGCGACACGAAGAAAAGAAGAAAAUUGAAUCCAAUCGCAAUCGUACCUGGAGCAAGAUUUCUUGGGUUUCUAUCGCUGAUCAGCAUCGCUGAAGCACCGAACAAUUCUUCCGGAUAUGCUGGAGUGACGAAUAGAAACGGUUGCGGUUCGUCGAAGAAGAUGAAUGAACGGAAGCACACGGAGGCACUGAAUCGACGAGAGUAUGAGACGGAGCAACACGUGACGGACGGCGGCGAGGAAGUGACGACAUCGGAGGGAAGAAAUCGCAACCAGAUCGGAAGAGGUUGA